GGGGUCGACUUUUAGUUGCUGUUCAGUACUGCUGCUUUUCGCUGUGUUCAGCUGCAAUCGGCCGGACGCUUCUCACUCCUGCCGCGGCCUGUCCCCGAUAGAGGGUAAAACCACAGGAAACGGUGGCUAAUACCGCAUAACGUCGCAAGACCAAAGAGGGGGACCUUCGGGCCUCUCACUAUCGGAUGAACCCAGAUGGGAUUAGCUAGUAGGCGGGGUAAUGGCCCACCUAGGCGACGAUCCCUAGCUGGUCUGAGAGGAUGACCAGCCACACUGGAACUGAGACACGGUCCAGACUCCUACGGGAGGCAGCAGUGGGGAAUAUUGCACAAUGGGCGCAAGCCUGAUGCAGCCAUGCCGCGUGUAUGAAGAAGGCCUUCGGGUUGUAAAGUACUUUCAGCGGGGAGGAGGGCGGUGAGGUUAAUAACCUCACCGAUUGAUGUUACCCGCAGAAGAAGCACCGGCUAACUCCGUGCCAGCAGCCGCGGUAAUACGGAGGGUGCAAGCGUUAAUCGGAAUUACUGGGCGUAAAGCGCACGCAGGCGGUCUGUUAAGUCAGAUGUGAAAUCCCCGGGCUUAACCUGGGAACUGCAUUUGACACUGGCACGCUUGAGUCUCGUAGAGGGGGGUAGAAUUCCGUGUGUAGCGGUGAAAUGCGUAGAGAUCUGGAGGAAUACCGGUGGCGAACGCCGCCCCCUGGACGAAGACUGACGCUCAUGUGCGAAAGCGUGGAGAGCAAACAGGAUUAGAUACCCUGGUAGUCCACGCCGUAAACGAUGUCGACUUGGAGGUUGUUCCCUGAAGAGUGGCUUCCCGAACUAACGCGGUAAUCCACCGGCUGGGAGGAUACGCCGCCUGGUAAAACUCAAAUGAAUUUAAGGGCGCCCCCACAAGCCGUUGGAGCAUGUUGUUUUAAUUCGAAGCAACGGGAAAGAAUCUUUCCUACUCGUGACUCAGAAGAAUCUUAGCAGAAGAUGCUUGGUGC
rnacentral:rRNA from 1 species